rnacentral:rRNA from 1 species
GUCUACGCCCAUGCCACCCUGAUCAUGCCCGAUAUUGUCUGAUCUCAGAAGCUAAGCAGGGUCGGUCCUAAUUAGUACUUGGAUGGGAGACCACCUAGGAAGACCAGGUGCUGUAGGCU